rnacentral:tmRNA from 1 species
GGGCUUGUAAAGGUUUCGACGGGGAUCUUGAAGCUUUAGAAGCGAGCCGUAUGCAAUGCGUUAAAUGGCAAACCUAAAUAUAAACGCUAACGAAAAUUUAGCUUUAGCUGCCUAAUUGCAGCUGGUCUAACUUAGUGCACCUACACAUUAAGACCUAGGCCUCGACUAUGUAGGAAACGACGUGAGCAAAGCUUUGAGUUCAUGGGCGUAUUAUGAAGCUACUAAAGCCGUUUGGGUGUUUGUUAUCAUGCGGUGGAGGGAAUGUAAAACAACAAACUACGCUCGUAGAAGGAGAGUGAAUGGGUUUUCGGACGCGGGUUCAAAUCCCGCCAGGUCCACGA